GGGAUUAGCUAGUAGGUGGGGUAACGGCUCACCUAGGCGACGAUCCCUAGCUGGUCUGAGAGGAUGACCAGCCACACUGGAACUGAGACACGGUCCAGACUCCUACGGGAGGCAGCAGUGGGGAAUAUUGCACAAUGGGCGCAAGCCUGAUGCAGCCAUGCCGCGUGUAUGAAGAAGGCCUUCGGGUUGUAAAGUACUUUCAGCGGGGAGGAAGGCGAUGCGGUUAAUAACCGCGUCGAUUGACGUUACCCGCAGAAGAAGCACCGGCUAACUCCGUGCCAGCAGCCGCGGUAAUACGGAGGGUGCAAGCGUUAAUCGGAAUUACUGGGCGUAAAGCGCACGCAGGCGGUCUGUCAAGUCAGAUGUGAAAUCCCCGGGCUUAACCUGGGAACUGCAUUUGAAACUGGCAGGCUAGAGUCUUGUAGAGGGGGGUAGAAUUCCAGGUGUAGCGGUGAAAUGCGUAGAGAUCUGGAGGAAUACCGGUGGCGAAGGCGGCCCCCUGGACAAAGACUGACGCUCAGGUGCGAA
rnacentral:rRNA from 1 species